rnacentral:rRNA from 1 species
UACGGAGGGUGCAAGCGUUGUCCGGAUUUAUUGGGUUUAAAGGGUGCGUAGGCGGCCUUGUAAGUCAGUGGUGAAAGCCUCCAGCUCAACUGGAGAACUGCCAUUGAUACUGGCAAGGCUUGAGUACAGACGAGGUUGGCGGAAUUGAUUGUGUAGCGGUGAAAUGCAUAGAUACAAUCAAGAACUCCGAUUGCGUAGGCAGCUAACUAGGCUGUAACUGACGCUGAGGCACGAAAGCGUGGGGAGCGAACAGG